AGAGUUUGAUCCUGGCUCAGAUUGAACGCUGGCGGCAUGCCUUACACAUGCAAGUCGAACGGUAACGCGGGGCAACCUGGCGACGAGUGGCGAACGGGUGAGUAACGCAUCGGAACGUGCCCAGUAGUGGGGGAUAGCCCGGCGAAAGCCGGAUUAAUACCGCAUACGACCUACGGGUGAAAGGGGGGGAUCGCAAGACCUCUCGCUAUUGGAGCGGCCGAUGUCAGAUUAGGUUGUUGGUGGGGUAAAGGCCUACCAAGCCGACGAUCUGUAGCUGGUCUGAGAGGACGACCAGCCACACUGGGACUGAGACACGGCCCAGACUCCUACGGGAGGCAGCAGUGGGGAAUUUUGGACAAUGGGCGCAAGCCUGAUCCAGCCAUGCCGCGUGCGGGAAGAAGGCCUUCGGGUUGUAAACCGCUUUUGUCAGGGAAGAAACGCUCUGAGUUAAUACCUCGGGGUAAUGACGGUACCUGAAGAAUAAGCACCGGCUAACUACGUGCCAGCAGCCGCGGUAAUACGUAGGGUGCAAGCGUUAAUCGGAAUUACUGGGCGUAAAGCGUGCGCAGGCGGUUAUGCAAGACAGAUGUGAAAUCCCCGGGCUCAACCUGGGAACUGCAUUUGUGACUGCAUAGCUAGAGUACGGUAGAGGGGGAUGGAAUUCCGCGUGUAGCAGUGAAAUGCGUAGAUAUGCGGAGGAACACCGAUGGCGAAGGCAAUCCCCUGGACCUGUACUGACGCUCAUGCACGAAAGCGUGGGGAGCAAACAGGAUUAGAUACCCUGGUAGUCCACGCCCUAAACGAUGUCAACUGGUUGUUGGACGGCUUGCUGUUCAGUAACGAAGCUAACGCGUGAAGUUGACCGCCUGGGGAGUACGGCCGCAAGGUUGAAACUCAGAGGAAUUGACGGGGACCCGCACAAGCGGUGGAUGAUGUGGUUUAAUUCGAUGCAACGCGAAAAACCUUACCUACCCUUGACAUGUCUGGAAUCCUGAAGAGAUUCAGGAGUGCUCGAAAGAGAACCAGAACACAGGUGCUGCAUGGCCGUCGUCAGCUCGUGUCGUGAGAUGUUGGGUUAAGUCCCGCAACGAGCGCAACCCUUGUCAUUAGUUGCUACGAAAGGGCACUCUAAUGAGACUGCCGGUGACAAACCGGAGGAAGGUGGGGAUGACGUCAGGUCCUCAUGGCCCUUAUGGGUAGGGCUACACACGUCAUACAAUGGCCGGUACAGAGGGCUGCCAACCCGCGAGGGGGAGCUAAUCCCAGAAAACCGGUCGUAGUCCGGAUCGCAGUCUGCAACUCGACUGCGUGAAGUCGGAAUCGCUAGUAAUCGCGGAUCAGCUUGCCGCGGUGAAUACGUUCCCGGGUCUUGUACACACCGCCCGUCACACCAUGGGAGCGGGUUCUGCCAGAAGUAGUUAGCCUAACCGCAAGGAGGGCGAUUACCACGGCAGGGUUCGUGACUGGGGUGAAGUCGUAACAAGGUA
rnacentral:rRNA from 1 species